AUCUCAUCAGCGACAAUAGGCGAGAGCGGUCCAUGAGGGUCUAUCCUUAUAUUAUGUCUAUGAGCUUGGUUGAGGCGGACCGUUUGGUCAAAAGCCGGAAAUACGGUCCCCGGCCGGAGCUCUUUAAGCCCUGAUAAUCUGGAGCAAAUCAAAA